rnacentral:rRNA from 1 species
GAUGAACGCUAGCGGCAGGCCUAACACAUGCAAGUCGAGGGGCAUCAUGGCGUAGCAAUACGCUGAUGGCGACCGGCGCACGGGUGCGUAACGCGUAUGGAACCUACCCACCGCAGGGGGAUAACCCGCCGAAAGGCGGACUAAUACCCCAUGGUUCCCCGACCCUACCUGGGGUUGGGGGUAAAGCCUACGGGCGGCGGUGGAUGGCCCUGCGUGCCAUUAGCUGGCUGGUGGGGUAACGCCCACCAGGGCGACGAUGGCUAGGGGUCUGAGAGGACGAUCCCCCACACUGGGAUUGAGAUACGGCCCAGACUCCUACGGGAGGCAGCAGUCGAGAAUAGUCUACAAUGGUCGGAAGACUGAUAGUGCGACGCCGCGUGAACGAUGAAUCCCUUCGGGGUUAAAAGUUCUUUUAUAUGUGAGCAGUGCUUCUAUAUUAACAGUAUGGGGAAGAGAUAUUAGCAUAUGAAUAAGCAACGGCUAACUCCGUGCCAGCACGCC